GAUGAAGAACGUAGCGAAAUGCGAUAAGUAGUGUGAAUUGCAGAAUUCAGUGAAUCAUCGAAUCUUUGAACGCACAUUGCGCCCCUUGGUAUUCCAUGGGGCAUGCCUGUUCGAGCGUCAUUUCAACCCCUCAAGCUUAGCUUGGUGUUGGGCUGCGCCAGCGUUGCUGGCGGGCCUUAAAAUCAGUGGCGGUGCCGUUUGGGCUCCAAGCGUAGUAGCAUCUCUCGCUCUGGAGACCCGGCGGUUGCUUGCCAGACAAUCACUAAAAAAACAAAAGGUUUGACCUCGGAUCAGGUAGGGAUACCCGCUGAACUUAAGAAUAUCAAUAAGCGGAGGA
rnacentral:misc_RNA from 1 species